CUGUGAGCUCGAUGAGUAGGGCGGGACACGUGGUAUCCUGUCUGAAUAUGGGGGGACCAUCCUCCAAGGCUAAAUACUCCUGACUGACCGAUAGUGAACCAGUACCGUGAGGGAAAGGCGAAAAGAACCCCGGCGAGGGGAGUGAAAAAGAACCUGAAACCGUGUACGUACAAGCAGUGGGAGCACGCUUAGGCGUGUGACUGCGUACCUUUUGUAUAAUGGGUCAGCGACUUAUAUUCUGUAGCAAGGUUAACCGAAUAGGGGAGCCGAAGGGAAACCGAGUCUUAACUGGGCGUUAAGUUGCAGGGUAUAGACCCGAAACCCGGUGAUCUAGCCAUGGGCAGGUUGAAGGUUGGGUAACACUAACUGGAGGACCGAACCGACUAAUGUUGAAAAAUUAGCGGAUGACUUGUGGCUGGGGGUGAAAGGCCAAUCAAACCGGGAGAUAGCUGGUUCUCCCCGAAAGCUAUUUAGGUAGCGCCUCGUGAAUUCAUCUCCGGGGGUAGAGCACUGUUUCGGCAAGGGGGUCAUCCCGACUUACCAACCCGAUGCAAACUGCGAAUACCGGAGAAUGUUAUCACGGGAGACACACGGCGGGUGCUAACGUCCGUCGUGAAGAGGGAAACAACCCAGACCGCCAGCUAAGGUCCCAAAGUCAUGGUUAAGUGGGAAACGAUGUGGGAAGGCCCAGACAGCCAGGAUGUUGGCUUAGAAGCAGCCAUCAUUUAAAGAAAGCGUAAUAGCUCACUGGUCGAGUCGGCCUGCGCGGAAGAUGUAACGGGGCUAAACCAUGCACCGAAGCUGCGGCAGCGACGCUUAUGCGUUGUUGGGUAGGGGAGCGUUCUGUAAGCCUGUGAAGGUGUGCUGUGAGGCAUGCUGGAGGUAUCAGAAGUGCGAAUGCUGACAUAAGUAACGAUAAAGCGGGUGAAAAGCCCGCUCGCCGGAAGACCAAGGGUUCCUGUCCAACGUUAAUCGGGGCAGGGUGAGUCGACCCCUAAGGCGAGGCCGAAAGGCGUAGUCGAUGGGAAACAGGUUAAUAUUCCUGUACUUGGUGUUACUGCGAAGGGGGGACGGAGAAGGCUAUGUUGGCCGGGCGACGGUUGUCCCGGUUUAAGCGUGUAGGCUGGUUUUCCAGGCAAAUCCGGAAAAUCAAGGCUGAGGCGUGAUGACGAGGCACUACGGUGCUGAAGCAACAAAUGCCCUGCUUCCAGGAAAAGCCUCUAAGCAUCAGGUAACAUCAAAUCGUACCCCAAACCGACACAGGUGGUCAGGUAGAGAAUACCAAGGCGCUUGAGAGAACUCGGGUGAAGGAACUAGGCAAAAUGGUGCCGUAACUUCGGGAGAAGGCACGCUGAUAUGUAGGUGAAGUCCCUCGCGGAUGGAGCUGAAAUCAGUCGAAGAUACCAGCUGGCUGCAACUGUUUAUUAAAAACACAGCACUGUGCAAACACGAAAGUGGACGUAUACGGUGUGACGCCUGCCCGGUGCCGGAAGGUUAAUUGAUGGGGUCAGCGCAAGCGAAGCUCUUGAUCGAAGCCCCGGUAAACGGCGGCCGUAACUAUAACGGUCCUAAGGUAGCGAAAUUCCUUGUCGGGUAAGUUCCGACCUGCACGAAUGGCGUAAUGAUGGCCAGGCUGUCUCCACCCGAGACUCAGUGAAAUUGAACUCGCUGUGAAGAUGCAGUGUACCCGCGGCAAGACGGAAAGACCCCGUGAACCUUUACUAUAGCUUGACACUGAACAUUGAGCCUUGAUGUGUAGGAUAGGUGGGAGGCUUAGAAGUGUGGACGCCAGUCUGCAUGGAGCCGACCUUGAAAUACCACCCUUUAAUGUUUGAUGUUCUAACGUUGACCCGUGAUCCGGGUUGCGGACAGUGUCUGGUGGGUAGUUUGACUGGGGCGGUCUCCUCCUAAAGAGUAACGGAGGAGCACGAAGGUUGGCUAAUCCUGGUCGGACAUCAGGAGGUUAGUGCAAUGGCAUAAGCCAGCUUGACUGCGAGCGUGACGGCGCGAGCAGGUGCGAAAGCAGGUCAUAGUGAUCCGGUGGUUCUGAAUGGAAGGGCCAUCGCUCAACGGAUAAAAGGUACUCCGGGGAUAACAGGCUGAUACCGCCCAAGAGUUCAUAUCGACGGCGGUGUUUGGCACCUCGAUGUCGGCUCAUCACAUCCUGGGGCUGAAGUAGGUCCCAAGGGUAUGGCUGUUCGCCAUUUAAAGUGGUACGCGAGCUGGGUUUAGAACGUCGUGAGACAGUUCGGUCCCUAUCUGCCGUGGGCGCUGGAGAACUGAGGGGGGCUGCUCCUAGUACGAGAGGACCGGAGUGGACGCAUCACUGGUGUUCGGGUUGUCAUGCCAAUGGCACUGCCCGGUAGCUAAAUGCGGAAGAGAUAAGUGCUGAAAGCAUCUAAGCACGAAACUUGCCCCGAGAUGAGUUCUCCCUGACUCCUUGAGAGUCCUGAAGGAACGUUGAAGACGACGACGUUGAUAGGCCGGGUGUGUAAGCGCAGCGAUGCGUUGAGCUAACCGGUACUAAUGAACCGUGAGGCUUAACCUU
rnacentral:rRNA from 1 species